ACCACUGUAGCUCAGUUGGCUAGAGCGAUAGCAAUAAUACUAGUUGUGCUAUAGGUCGCAGGUUCGACUCCUGUCAGUGGUU
rnacentral:tRNA from 2 species